rnacentral:rRNA from 1 species
CAAUAGCGUAUAUUUAAGUUGUUGCAGUUAAAAAGCUCGUAGUUGGAUUUCGGGUGGGCUGCGCCGGUCUCCUAACGGUUGUACUGGCGACGCCCGCCUUGCUGCCGGGGACGGGCUCCUGCCUUAACUGUCGGGACCCGGAAUCGGCGACGUUACUUUGAGUAAAUUAGAGUGUUCAAAGCAAGCCUACGCUCUGAAUAUAAUAGCAUGGGAUAACACGACAGGACUCUGGCCUAUCGUGUUGGUCUGUAGGACCAGAGUAAUGAUUAAGAGGGACAGUCGGGGGCAUUCGUAUUCCGUUGUCAGAGGUGAAAUUCUUGGAUUUACGGAAGACGAACAUCUGCGAAAGCAUUUGCCAAGGAUGUUUUCAUUGAUCAAGAACGAAAGUUGGGGGCU